GCUAAAACCCCUCAGGAAACCCCAGACAAAGCCAGUUUAAGCCAGAAAAAGCCUGAUCUGGAUAUAACAUCAUCCUCCUCACCCAAACUUCUCACUUCCGAACCACCUGCAAGUCUUCACAAGCCCCAGCCACUGAUGAACGGCCACCAGGAGCCCUCUCAUCUACAGGGUUCUUCAAACUAUGAGAACCACGAGGACAUAGAGAAGAUGGUCCCCGGGCCACAGCAGGACGUCCCUGUGGAUCCCAUUGACGAGAGGCCGCCAAUGCCGCUCCCUGACGCCGGCGAUCAGAAGCUCUUGGACAAACAAGGACCGUUCUCCAUUAAGACCUGGUUAAAACGGGAGCCAGGUCGUCCCCAGAGAGGUAAUGACAAUAAACCCCUGUGUGACGGUCGAACUCUUGAAACUCCGGAACAGCAAGCGAAGCGUCCCUCUAGCACCACCUUUAGCAAACUACGCAGUAAUUUUGUUCAGAAGAUAACUGGCUCAUCAAGUGGCCACACGCCAAAACGACCAAGUCAGCUCAGCGUCCACCAGAACUCGGAGGCCCCCGAGGCUUUCUGUCGACCUCUGGAAGUGUCGCCAUCGUUUACUCCUUUGAAGAUAACCACAGACUUUGAUAACAUUGACCCUUACAUGACGAGCCUCGGCCGCGACGAUCGGCAGCAUUUAGAUACGUCCAGCAGCAGUAUACGUCAUUACCCAUUCACUAGUUCCGCCGACAGACGGACGUUCGACCACCGGGUGCCGACUGCACGACGCGGGAGACACCCGGGAAGGGACGGGUCGGACGUCUCUACUGAGUACGCGGGGCUGUACCACACUCCGCCAUUUUCAACCACUGCGUCGGUGGACAGGGACGGGUAUGCUUCUCCGAAUGUGAUUGGACCGUUUACCAAGAGUGAUAUUAAUAACAAUGAAAAACACAAUAACGUCGAGGCGGAUUCUGACAGAAACAGAGGUGUUCCCGUUCUCUCCCGAGCGCCCCUUACUCAUUCUGAUCAUCACAACAUUUCUUUUCAAUCUAGAGACAACGAUUCCGUUAAGCCUAACUCAGGGAGCGCGCCAAGUUACAAAUCAAAGAGUAACCCCAGGCAGGUCCGACUGGACGUGUCGUCUGCCAUGAAAUACCAGUCAGAAAUGGGUUCGCAACAGCUCACGGAAAUGACCCCCUCCGAUUUGUCACACACAGAUCUUAAGGUACCGAUGCGCGAGCACAGACCUCCUCCUCCAGUGGAUAACAGCCCUGCCCAAAGAGACACAAAGAAAGAAUCAUCUUGGAGAAAGGAACUUAGUGCUUUAUAUUCAGAAUCCCCAACGUCGAAACCAAGUGAAGAAAAGCCGGUAAAGAUCACGUUGGGUCGUGCUCAUCAACGGCAGCAAAAGGCGGCCCAGCAACAGCAGAGGAAAUAUCAGCAACAGAACAACCUGAAACCGGUGACGGCCAGUGUGGGCAGCAACGCAAUAAAAAGAGACGUCCCACCACAAAAACCACCGCGGACGCCGCAGAUGCAGCGGUCGCACUGCCACAUGGACCUCUCACAAACGACCGACGACCCAGAGAAACCGAUCAUUCCCGAGAGACUCCGAGGGCAGCAACACCAUGCCAUCACUUCUCUGAUCAAUCGAUUUGAGAAGAACACACCAUCAAACGAUGCUACCUCUGUGAACAGGAAUUUGAACAAAACCAAGAACUUUGUGCCGAGCUCCAUUCCAAUACAUGAGAACAAGCAGAUCGGUAACAACGAGGAAGACCCGCCCCCUCUCCCCCCGCGACUGGACUACCCUUACUCCGAGGGUAAAGCCCAGUAUAACUCCCACUCUAACGAAUCCACCCUAGUCAAGACCCCUGUCAACAGUGGCGGUCAGCUCGACAGCAAACAGUCACAAAGUGUACCAAACUACUUACAUUCCAAAUUCUCCAAUUGCUAUGACGUACACAAAAGUGAUGCUUCGAACGCUCCCGUACCAAAGCCGAUUCACUCUCGAGAGAGCACGGGUCUAAGUGACAUUGAUGGCUACACAGACCAGCUACGCAAGGCGGCCAGCAGCUCAGUGUUCGACAGAUACAAACACCACAAAACUCCGACUCAGUCCGACAAGGACGCCAAAUCAAACGUGGAGACCGCGCGCAGGAACCUUAAUCAUGUGUACGAUAGACAAAGUGGAAGCAAUUCAAACUAUAGUCUGCAAUCGUCAAAUACGCAUCAACCUUUAACCUCGUAUGGAAGCCACGCCCCUUCCAUACAGACCAAUACUCCUCAGCAUGCCAAAUUGAAUCAAAAUCACGUGACUUUAUCUCCAUCCCCUUACAAUAGCCAGCGAAACCCGCGGAGGGAGGAAAGUGCAACAGCAGUUAUUAAACCAACAGUUAUGCAGGGAGCGGUCAUGGACUUUUAAGACAGCACAAUAGUUCGGUCUUUUUAGACAUUACGAUGUCAUAGCCUUACAGGGUUUCUUUAUACAUGUCGCCUUUUUUACUGACACAUUUUCAACCAAAUAUUUUGAUUCUUACUUUUAUUUUUACUUUUUACAGACUUCUAUAUUUCUUAUAGAUAUUUGCCAUCAGAUCUGAUAUUUUGUACUGUACAUGUAUAUUUUAACUAAAUAUUGUUAAUAUAUAUAUUAAAUUAUCCU
rnacentral:misc_RNA from 1 species